GCUCCGAUUGGGUGACUGGAAGCAGGGGAGGGGAAGAUGGCGGAGUGAAGGGGAAGAAGUGGAGCGAGAGCCUCUGCGGGCUGCGGCCCGGGGGCCCCAGCUGGGGGGAUCAGAUCAGUAGAGAAUAUUCUAGAUUAGGCCCUUUCCUCGAAGGUCCAUGCCCCUCCAGGUCCAAGCAAAUAUCAUAGUAAUUGGCAGUCAACAUUUGCAUUAACUGAAAGCUACCGGCAAAAAUUCUUGGUGAUAAAAUGAUCAGUGCAGCAUGAAAUGAAAAAGAAAUUGUAAUGGAAUUGGAAGCAAGCAAAUGUCCCUAUCGUCCAAAAAGGAGGAAAAUCCAGGAAUGAACCAUCACUAAAGGUCGUUUCCUUUUGACGCAGGAGAUGCUGUUUCUUUAAAGAGUUGUUAUUCAUGAAUGCCCAUCUUGAGAAGAAAACUCUUCCUUUAUUUCUCUAAAUGGAAAUGAAGAAAUGCUGCUUUGAGCCUUUUACAGCUCCUCAUCAUAAAAAAUCAUCACAUGACGCAGAAUUAUACAGGUGGAAAAUACAACCCUUGCAAAGCAACUAAAAUGAAUAUAUGGACUUCCAUGUGUACCAGGCCUUUGCUUAUGGUUUUUUGCCCUCUAAAAGUGAUUGUGCAUUACAAUAUGAGCAAUUGUCAAUUCUUGUUGACACUUUGAUUCAUUCAAUAUAUUUUAGUAAAAUAAUUCACCACAAAAUCUUUGGAGAACCUAAACAAAUCGGUAUGUUCUUGAAAUACCGUCUCAGAAAUCUUGAUGAAAAAUUAUGGCAGAAGGACCAGAAUGUACAUGUGUUAUAAAAAAAAAAAGAGAGAGGGAAAUAGUUUGAAAGAUUUUCCACUGGAAAAUUUCCUUCCUAAAAGAGUCAGUUAUAAUUAGAUUUUAAUGGAAUCUUGAUGCAAGUAAAUCUUGAUGCAACUACAUAAAAUUGCAUCAGUCAAGUUAUGUAUUGAAUGUACAUAAAAGCUGGAAAGUGGGGAUAUUAAUAAUAUGUCCCACAAAAUGAAGGUUGGAGACUUAAAAGUAUAGAAAGCCUUGGGUAGUAGAAUUUACUUGGUAUCGCAAUUCUUUCCUAAGGAAUUCAACAAUAAAAGGAACAAUGAUUGAACUGUCCAGGCUUUUUCCUGAAAGGAACAACAAUGCCAGUAUAACCUUGUAUGUAAAACUCCACUGCUUAGAUGAACAAAAGUUAGACAUGCUCAGGAAGGGCUUCUUUAUUAUUUCUCAAUAAGUCACCCAGAGUUAAGGUGGGAAUUGUGUUCUAAACAUGCUUGCAGAACAUUCUUUGCAUCGUGUUUGUUUCUACUGGACUGUUUCAAGCUGGGAUAAAAGCUGCUUUUUGCCACAAUGGGUGCAAAAGCCUAUGUCUUCUUCCCUUGCUGAGCCAUGGAGCACCUUAUUUCAGUUUUAUUAAAAUAUUAAUGUAGGUUCGCUAAUAGUUUUGACAAUAUCCUCAAUCUUAGUUAAAGGAAGUACAUUUGAUAAUUGUUAGUCAUAGCUAAGAAUGUUGAAUGCUUUUGGCUGAUUGUUAUUUUCAAAGGUAAAGUUGUGGCUGCUAGAAGAAUAUUUGGGAUGUUUGUAUGUUUUAAAUAGUUUUAAUAAGGGGAAUAAACCUAGCAAAGCAUUUGUGUUUGCUUGUCAUCGUGUUGUGUUUAGCUUAUAUAUGAUAAAAGAGUAAACAUUUUUUUCUUUCUUUGAAUAAAAACGAAGUAGAGGUAGUCCUCAUUUAGUGACCAAACGAACUGGCAUCUUGGUUGUUAAGCAAAGCAGUCAGUAAAUGACAUUGACCUGUCGAUGAGAUCUUACUUCAGCUUUCCUUUGCUUUACAGACCUGUGAAUGUCAUAAAUGCAAGGAUUGGUUGUAAAGUUACUUUUUCCUCACCAUUGUAACUGUGGCAUAGUUAAUAAGAGCUAAAUAAAGACUACCUGUACAAUUGUUUUUUUUUAAGUGUUGCAAAAGAACAUUUUCAGAGGGCUUAAAAUAUAGCUACAGAACAAAAAUGAAAUAUUUAAUAGUCAAAAGAGUUGUGAAACUUAGAAAUUUACUCAUACAAAAGUUUAAAUUUUAAAAUAAUUUGGAUAUCUUUUGGGUUUAUCAAGGUUUCAGAAGUAAAACUUAAUGAAGUUGUUCUCUGCGACUCUUACUAAAAAUUAGAAAGCAGCAUGAAUUUAAUCAGUAAUUUGGAUGUUGUUUUAGCUAUUUAUACCUCAGAGAUAUUUUGUGGUGAAGAUAAUACAGUACAUUGGGACAGAAGGGAAAUGUAAUUUAGUUUCCCAAAUCAUUAGAAAAUGAUCAUAUAUUUAAGAAAAAAAUAAAUUCUUUAUCUCCUUUCUCACUAAAUGCCACUGUAAUAAUGUAUCUAUUUCUAUUGAAUACGGCUGCAUUAAGAGUAAAGUUAGCAUUUGAGGAAAAAAACAACACUGCUCUCUAUGUCUGGGAAAUCACUUUAGUUUAGUUAUCCAUGUCCAUCUCCUUAACAGUAGUAUUCACAGGCAAUAUUGCCUUAUAUUUUUUUUAAGUUUUACAUACUCAUUUGUUGUCCACCUUGGCAGGAAAUCUUUCACAUCUGAAAGAUGAAGCAAAUAUGGGGCAUGUGCAAUAGUAUAAUAUAUACAUAUAAAUAUAUUUUAAUACUUGUGGACAAAAUGUUACAAGUUGUUUGAGAACAACAAAAUCACCAAUGUCUUCCAUUUUAAAAUGUGUAUAGUUCCAUAAGCAUUAGUGCUUUGUAGCAAAACUGUAGUGCCAUGUUAGGAUCGGUGCAUGAGCCUAGUAGUACUUUUUUACGAUUUCAGAGUGACAAAUUAAUGAAGCUGAUGAUGUAACUUAUAGGAAACUGACAUGGUUACGGUCAUGGUCUAAAGAUGCAGUGUCCUUUCUAGGCAAUGGUAGAAGAAACUGCUGCAUAGAAUCAGUGAGAUGUGAAUUUCAUAGUGAUUGCAUGAAAAUAAUCUUUAAUCAGCCAGGUAUAUUUUGAGUGCACUUAAACUGCAUGUAAAAACCCUAAUAGAAGUAAUAAUCUUUAACAAAACCCCUUGUGAAUCAUGGAAUAUUUUGCUAUAAUGAGAAAAAAAAAUAACUGAUAGUGUAAAUUCUUAAAUUUUAGGGACUAGAAUAAGCAUAUGACUAGUCUUUCCCAUUCAUGCUUUUUUCCACAAAAAGUUUUGGUAUGUUUUUGAAUCAGAUUUGUUGGUUGUUUUUGUGCUUGCAUUAAGACAGGAAUGGGUAACCUUUUACAGUGUAACUGUUGCUUGUAGAAACUGAAUGAUUGGGGCUUGCACAUAUCUGCCAAUGGGGCAGCUAUUAAUCAAGAGUAGCAUCUUGCAAAAUUGACAAAUCUAGAAAUGCUAUCACUGUACAGCUAAUUCUGAAUGCACCUAAGUUAUUAGCAUUGUUCAUUAUUAAAAUCUCAUAUAUAUUUUUUUUCUUACCUCGCUAUUUUGAUAAAGCAUUUGUUGUUUUCUUACUAAUUAAAUAUUUAGUCAAAUUUAUUUCUUGCAUCCAAAUAUCUAUAUAUUACAGUAAUUAAUCUUAGUAGGUUUUCCCCCUUUUCUGAAAUUAGUUAGGUAACUCAUCUAAAACUUUAUUUUUGGUUUAAACAAGUCAAGACUUAAGUUAUGAAUCUAGUUCUUUGUAGAUCUUUACGGUUUAAAUGCUACUUUUAGCUUAAAGGGGAUACUGCAUCUUUUUUUAAAAAAAGGAACUUCUCUAUAAAUGACCACCUUGAUGAGAGAAAAGAUGUCUGUAUUUCUUUAUUGGCAAAACAUAAUAUGAUACUUGUACUGUAACUGUUAACCCAGAGAACUGCAGAAUUACUUUUAAAGAUCUCUCUCUCUCUCUAUUUUCUCAUGAAAGUGGCAAGGUGUGUCGUUUGGAGUUGAAUUGUGAGGACCUGAGCUCUUUUGGGGCUCUCUUGUGAACAGCAGUAUAAUUGAAUGAAAUGGGGCUGAUGAUUGGGAGAAUUGAUGGAAAAAUACCUCUGAAACUGGAAUGCAAAAUAGCACAGUACGUAGGGGGGGAAAUCCCUGAUGCAAAUAAAGCCAUAAGAAGACAAUAAAUAGAACUUUAGUAGCAAUAACUGUUUGCAUGUAAUAGGACCUAACUUGCAUUGGCAAGAAUAGUAUAGUAGAAUAAAUGGUAUUAACCAAAUAGGUUUGCUGUGCUCUGUGUUGCAGGAAGUUGAAUUUCUCAUUAAAAGGUUGGUAAGUUCCUCUCUACCACAAAACAAUGUGCUUGAAUGCUACAGGGCAAAGCCUGGCAAAAAUUCCAGAAUAAUUUUAUUUUUAAAAAUUGAUAUAAUUAGGAAAAGAGGUUUAUUGUAUAUGAAACCGAUGAAAACUUAACACAGAAUAUUUGUAGAUAAUUGAUCAUCAUUUCUGAAGUAACGAAGAACCCUUGAGGCUGGGUUCUACCCAGGGAUAUAAUUUAGGAGUUUGGGGAUCCAAAUUUUUGAACCAAAUUGUGAAUUUCUUUAAAAGUAGUGCUUAUAUAAUUCUUUUAUUCAUUUUCUUUUAUAAGCAAAUCUAAUGUUUCACUUUUUUUAUUUUAUAAAGCUACUUGUAGACAUGGAAGGAGGAUAGCAAGUUUUAGGUCACUGCCUGGCAAACUUUCAUCAUUCUAGAGAGCGCAGUUUAUACCUCUUUAAAAUUAUAUUUAAAAUUCAGUUGCAUUAACUUUGUAUGCAUGUGCAAACUGAAGACCAAGUAAACUGUAAAUCUAAUAUAGAAAUCUGCCUUAAGCAGGGUUCGAUUGACCAGAUUCAUUUGCAAGGCUGGGACAUAUAUUUAAAGAAAGUGGCUUUUUAUUUUUGUUCUACAUUCUUUGAUAUCUAUUGUUUACCUACAUGGAUAAGGUGGCAGUUUUAAAAUAAAAUGCAUAUACACACACACGGGCAUGUUUAUACACAUUCUAUAGAACUUUCUGCUCUACGUAUUUAUACUGAUCAAUGAAAAUUAGCACAAGUUUUCUAAAAUGUUCAGAAGUUUAAUCCAACAUUUAUGUACACAAAUAGUUGAUAUGUUUAGGUGACUUUUGAUCACAUAAUAGAUAGGGGGUAUUCAUUAAACUCAGAAACAAUUUUUCUAACCCUGGAAAAUUAUUUGCACUUACUGUGUUUGCCUACGUGAUUAUUUAAAUACCCAUUUGCAGAAUCCUAAAGGUGUCUCGUAUCUAUAUCAGUACAAUUUUUACUGCUCUCAUAUUUUGAACAGCUAAUUUACAAAUCUUUUUGUUGGCUCAGCUGGUGCUAGGCUGAAUAUAACAUUGCUCGUAGAAAAUUUUACUCUCGUAAUCUGAGUCAUGAAUGUGAGGACUCAGGAUUGCAUGAAAGACUUGAAUGUGGUGCUAUUCUGGAAGAACUAGUUAGACUGUUGUUAAUUGCUUGUUAAAGCAUCUGAAUCGCAGCCUCAUCCUAGAGUACAUUACUGCCUUGAUCUAAGUGAUAAGGAACUAUAGUAUUACUGGAAAUUUAAUACUGAAAUAUAAUUCUAAAUGCACGAGAGAAAAUUCUUAAGUGGCUCUUCAUUGUACUUAAUCUGCCUAUUCUCUGUGUAGUUUCUCCUUUGAUUGUAAUUCUCUUGAUAGCUCUUAAUUUUUGACUGCAGAUCAGUUUCAUUGAAACAUUAAUACUAUUCUUGAUGAAAGACUCCAUAGAGCUUGCAUUUCAUCCGUCAAUAUUUUAGUACUUUUAAAAAUAUUUUAAUCAGCACCUACUCUCUAAAUUUUAUGGUGAAAUCCCUCUUAAUAUAGACUUCCCUUUGGAUUUUUAAAUUUUCCUUUAUUUUGCACUUUGAAAAACAAUAAAUCAUGUAAGAAUUCAAGCACAAUAUUGACACAAAGGUGCCAGAAAAUAGCUCUCAAAAACAGGCUUUUGGAAUACAGAUUGCAAGUAGUUCUUUGAUGGUUCAGUCAAGAUCUAGAGAAGCUAAGAUGAAUUGAGGUUUUGCAUUCAGUUUGUAUGAUUGGGAUGGGUUACAAGAGAAGCCCAUACAUAGAGAGAGAAGCAGGGAAUUUAACUGUUCCAGAAAUGUGGAAAAAUGAUAGCUAUGCAUAGUGCAUAGAUUUAUACAAAGAUUGCUGGAAUAAAUACAUUGGUGUAUCUCUUAAUAAAGGGGAAUAAAAGUACACUUAUGCAUGGGUUUAUUAUUGAAUCUGAAAAUGAUUAGAGAAAGAAUGCAUGUUGGUGAUGGGAGGAUUAGGGUGACUGUUUCUUGCAUUCUAGAAAAGAAAGCUAUUUGUUCAGAGAGGAACUGAGUUCAUUCUAGGAACAUGGGAAAUGAAUGAUGGAGGCUUUGAAUGUGAGCACUUCCUAGCUGGUUUUAGAUGGAAUUUCCAAGUUUUCCAAGUCACAGCACAAAAAAUAUUCCAUAAAGUGUAGUAUUUCUUAAGGACUGGAUAUUGCAAUUCUUUUCUUUUCCGUGCAGGUGAAGACAGAUAAGGUUACAAAGCUAUCAGAAUGGAAUACUUGUGUGGGAAAAACCACUGGCACAAGCACAUAGACUCACAAACCGUCUUUUUUUAGAGAUAGUAUUCUAAUUAUGCAUGAUUAAAAUGUAUAGUGUUAUAGCUAUUAUCAGUAAAUUGAUAUAUGCAUUUAUACAUUAUGAAGCAAUAGGAACCAAUAUACCAAUAGCUUGAAUUUACUGCUUUGAUUCUCAGUUUUUUUAGACAACAUGCUGCCUCUUUAGUAAAGGGGCAAAAUGUACAAAGAAGGGACGAAGCAUGACGCCAAAACUGUGUAUUAGAAAAAGGAAUCAGUAGAAUGAACCCUUUUAGUCUCUUACCAAGUUCAUAGCAGCUCAUGAGCCUACAUGAUAUGAACAUGGUUAAUGGCAAUUUGGGUUUCUUGGUUGCUGCAGUUGUACAAACAAAAAAAGGUGCAGAGUUUCAGAGCACAGAAAAGGGAAUAUGUAAAUCCCAAAUGGGGCAAUAAAAAUGAUCUAAGCAGUUUAGGGUUUGUGGUUAUUUUUAAGUAGAGAUAGUAAAUUUAGCCAGAGCAGUUAGUUAGUUGCAGCUAAAAAACAAUGAGUAAUUAAAAUGAGUAAGCUGUCCAUACUUUUCAGGUAUUAAUUUUUCUAAGACAGAUGUAGCUUUUCAGUUUCCCACCACCACCACCUUUGGCAGCUGGAUUAAAAUGAACUGGUUUCAAACCAGCAAUAACUUACAUUAUGAAAAUUAGAGAUAUUUAAGUAUUCGUUCAAGCUGUAUUUAAAUAGGAUGUAGCUUUUUUGAUCAUCUAGAGCAGGGGUGUCACUCAAGGCCUGCGGGCUGGAUGCAGCCCGUGGGGUGCUUAGAUUUGGCCUGCGGGGCCGGCCUGGAAACACCAGAGGACUAGCCCGGAGUGCCUCUCCAAGCAAAAACGCCCUGUUUUUGGCCACAAUGGCCUGCAGCCCUCUGCCAGAAAAAACAGCUCUGGGAGCUGCGCCCACCCGUGCCCUCACCCUCCAAGGUCAAACAACCCUAAUGCGGCGCUCAAUGAAAUCAAGUUUGACACCCCUGAUCUAGAGGAUUGAUAAGACUCAAUUUUGAAAAAUUGGUGCAGUAAAACGUGUAGAUAACUAGAAAUAUUAUAGCAGCAUAGCUGUUGCAGCAAAGUCUGUGUUGGCACAUACUUUUCCUAUUAAGAUGUGUGAAAAAGAUCUCAAGUUUGAAUCUUUAGAUUGCACUAGUUUGCAAAAAGGCUUAUCUAAGUACUAGUGUAUCAAAGUUUGACCUUUUUUCUAGGUGUGAAUAUUUGUUAAGGCAUAAUUGUGCAUUUUUGGUUUUGUAACUUUCCCAGUUAUACACAUUUCCAACCAUAUUUUCGCACAACCAUUGGCAGUAAUCAGUAAUUUCAUAUUAUUACCGGUAGACCUAUUGAAGUUGUGAUUGAAGUCUUGCAAACCAUUUUAACAAGUGAAAUAAAGUUUCUCAUUUCUAAAUUUUUCCUUCCAAAAUUGACUUCAAUAGUACAUUGUUUGAAGGUGUUUCAACUAUAAAGAGUAAAAUUUAAGACUGGGCUACUGAAUGGAUAUACUUUUUUUCCAAAAUAAAAUGUUAUUCUGGUGUUUGAAAACUGGGAAGAAUUGGUAGCAAAAGUUAAGUCUUGAAGAUAAUCUACAAAAUGAUUGGCAGAUAGGUAUGCCUUUUACUAACAGAUAAAGUCAUCUGGAUAAGAGUAUAAUCUACUCCCUUAUAUACAUUAUCAAUGUGAACAGUUUGUCUAUGUAUAUACCUAAUAUUUUCCAGAUGGCAGCUUGCUUUUAUAUCUAUGCAUAUUUGGGGAAGGGAAAGAAUGUGUUAAAUGUAUUCUUUUGACACUGUAAACAAUAAUUGCUCAAAAAUGAGCUUUGAAACUCUGCACCUGUGUAUAAUUUUUUAGCAAUAAAGCAGCAUGAGCUGAGAAUGCACUAAAA